UUACGGCCGUAUCACAUCAAAACACAGGUUCCCGUACGAUCACCAAAGUUAAGCAUUGUCAAGCCUGGUCAGCACCUAGAUGGGUGACUGCUCGGUAAAACCAGGUACUGUAAG